GAUGAACGCUGGCGGCGUGCUUAACACAUGCAAGUCGAACGAUGAAGCCCAGCUUGCUGGGUGGAUUAGUGGCGAACGGGUGAGUAACACGUGAGUAACCUGCCCUUAACUCUGGGAUAAGCCUGGGAAACUGGGUCUAAUACCGGAUAGGAGCGUCCACCGCAUGGUGGGUGUUGGAAAGAUUUAUCGGUUUUGGAUGGACUCGGGGCCUAUCAGCUUGUUGGUGAGGUAAUGGCUCACCAAGGCGACGACGGGUAGCCGGCCUGAGAGGGUGACCGGCCACACUGGGACUGAGACACGGCCCAGACUCCUACGGGAGGCAGCAGUGGGGAAUAUUGCACAAUGGGCGCAAGCCUGAUGCAGCGACGCCGCGUGAGGGAUGACGGCCUUCGGGUUGUAAACCUCUUUCAGUAGGGAAGAAGCGAAAGUAACGGUACCUGCAGAAGAAGCACCGGCUAACUACGUG
rnacentral:rRNA from 1 species